CGUAGGUGGCAAGCGUUGUCCGGAUUUAUUGGGUUUAAAGGGUGCGUAGGCGGCCCUGUAAGUCAGUGCUGAAAUAUCCCGGCUUAACCGGGAGGGUGGCAUUGAUACUGCAGGGCUUGAGUAAAGUUGAGGUUGGCGGAAUUGACGGUGUAGCGGUGAAAUGCUUAGAUAUCGUCAAGAACACCGAUAGUGUAGACAGCUAACUAAGCUUUAACUGACGCUGAGGCACGAAAGUGUGGGGAUCAAACAGGAUUAGACACCCUGGUAGUCCACACUGUAAACGUUGAUGACUCGCUGUUGGCGAUAUACAGUCAGCGGCUUAGAGAAAUCGUUAAGUCAUCCACCUGGGGAGUACGCCGGCAACGGUG
rnacentral:rRNA from 1 species